AACAUUACUAUAGGUGGAAGUUGACACAAGUUUAUCAGAUUUUUUGGGUGGUGGUCUCGAUUGCUCCGGCUUGGCAUCUUUGUGAUGCAGAAGCCGAUAGGGUGUUCCAGCCCCUUCAAGCGGCAGAGUAAAAUUCGUUCUAAUGUCAAAUUUUGACAUCCUAUUGAGACCAAUGUUAAGGACUCUAAACUAUGAUCACUGAUUUGAUGUCGUUAGAUACAACAUGUCGUAGUUUCAGCUGACCGAUCAAAUGAACUUAGAUAACAGGUUAUGGAGAACUCGAAUUAGGUUAAAAGGUUAGUUACGUAGUUUAGUGUUAUUUCGACUUCUUUGUAGUUUCUUGUUGUUUGAUUCUGUCACUAUUUGACAUUUGUUGUACUUUGAUUAUUGUCUUAUUUUGUCGUAGUUAUUGUUACAUUUUAAGAAGAUAGGAGUUCUCACAUGCUUUUUCUUUUUUUCCAACUACUUUUUCUCCGGACCUCACUUAUGGGAUUAUACUGACUAUG